rnacentral:lncRNA from 1 species
GACCAAGUUAAGGGGCGUCAUCUCUCAUCCAUGCACCAUGUGACACAUGCGCAUGGAUUUAAAUUCUUACCACUUCUCCUAAUUUUUCUACAAAGAGUUUAAUACUUAGAAGGACUCUUAGGCACCUCCUAAGUCAUCUAAAAAUCAUUCAUAGAAUAAAAGUCACGGAGAAAAAAUAGGAAAGGCCUUAUCUAAAGGUUGCGCCAACUCCAUCCAUGCGCCAUGUGGUUCAUGCGCAUGGAUUCAAAUCCACAUGCCAAGAGAGAGACUCUUAGGCAUGUGGUUCCCUAGUUUUUGGCACCCAACAGCAAGCCCAAUUAAACCACUUCGAACCCACUUCAAGACCAAAUCCAAUUUGGCUCAAAUUGGAUCUAAAUUAGCCCAAAUCAGAACCCGAUUCGAAUUCGAUUCGAAUCAAAAUGCUAGGGUUUGCAACAUGUGCUAGCAUGUUCAACUUGCAAACAUGGUCUAAUCAAAUUAAACCCAUGAUCAAUUCUCUUUGUGUGUGACCCAUUGGGUUCCACAUCUAGCCAGCAGUGAGUCCAGAUGCAAUUUAGUCUAAUUUGGUUAGAACACAACCCAGCCAAUUUAAGUCAAAUCAAGCUGAACCAUUUUGAUCAAUUAGAACAGCUUUUAAUUAAUGAUCAAAUUAAACUCUUUAAUUUGAUCAAACUCACAAGACA